rnacentral:rRNA from 1 species
UACGGGGGGGGGCAAGCGUUGUUCGGAAUUACUGGGCGUAAAGGGCGCGUAGGCGGUUCGCUAAGUUGGAUGUGAAAACUCUGGGCUCAACCCAGAGCCUGCAUCCAAAACUGGCGGGCUAGAGUUCUGGAGGGGGUAGCGGGAAUCCUGGUGUAGCGGUGAAAUGCGUAGAUAUCAGGAGGAACACCGGUGGCGAAGGCGGCUACCUGGACAGAAACUGACGCUGAGGCGCGAAAGCUAGGGGAGCAAACAGG